UACCAGCACCCCGAGUGGUCGGGACGAUUAUUGGGCCUAAAGCAUCCGUAGCCGGUCCUACAAGUCUUCCGUUAAAUCCACCUGCUUAACAGAUGGGCUGCGGAGGAUACUAUAAGACUAGGAGGCAGGAGAGGCAAGCGGUACUCAGUGGGUAGGGGUAAAAUCCGUUGAUCCAUUGAAGACCACCAGUGGCGAAGGCGGCUUGCCAGAAUGCGCUCGACGGUGAGGGAUGAAAGCUGGGGGGAGCAAACCGG
rnacentral:rRNA from 1 species